CAUAAAUAACUACAAAUGCCAUGGAUGAUCUGGACGAGACUCAAGGCAACGCUGUGAGAACCCGAGGUUCCAUACCGUGUGGUCUUCCACCCGGUGGUAGCUGCCGCCAGGGUCCACUUCCACCCUCACUCACGUCAAACGCUUUGAGGGCAAUAUGUUUUCCUUCGCCAAGGAUGCGGUUGAGCUGAGUGGCCAGGUCUUUGUCCAUUGUGAUGUGGUCAUCUGUGAUGCCAGUAGUCCCUCUGGCGGCCCCUGUAGUGGACAAUGUGUGAAUCAGGACAACCCGAAAU